GACAGAGGAUGCAAGCGUUAUCCGGAGUUACUGGGCGUAAAGGGCGUGUAGGCGGACGUGUAAGUCUAUUCUGAAAGCUCCUGGCUAAACUGAGAGAGGCGAAUGGAGACUGCAUAUCUAGAGUGAGAAGAGGAAAGUGGAAUUCCGCGUGUAGUGGUGAAAUGCGUAGAGAUGCGGAGGAACACCAGUGGCGAAAGCGACUUUCUGGUCCUUAACUGACGCUGAGGCGCGAAAAGCAUGGGGAGCGAACGGG
rnacentral:rRNA from 1 species